rnacentral:rRNA from 1 species
UACGUAGGGGGCUAGCGUUAUCCGGAAUUACUGGGCGUAAAGGGUGCGUAGGUGGUUUCUUAAGUCAGAGGUGAAAGGCUACGGCUCAACCGUAGUAAGCCUUUGAAACUGGGGAACUUGAGUGCAGGAGAGGAGAGUGGAAUUCCUAGUGUAGCGGUGAAAUGCGUAGAUAUUAGGAGGAACACCAGUUGCGAAGGCGGCUCUCUGGACUGUAACUGACACUGAGGCACGAAAGCGUGGGGAGCAAUCAGG